AAUCAGAGUUAUAUUUACAGAAGGGGAUUAAAAACAUAGACAAGGAGGUUAAGGAAGAGAAAUCCUGUGUAAAGAAAGAGGAAGCAAGAUGGGGAGUGAGCAAAAUCAUUACAGGAUACUCACCAGGAAGACUGAAGAUAGAUGGGCGGCUUUAGAAAUCCUCCCUCAGAAGAUUUCUUCUAGCAGCCUCCAGAUGAAGAUGUAGGUAGAACUCUCAGCUCCUCCUGCACCAUGCCUGCCUGGAUGCUGCCAUGAUCACAUCAUGAUGAUAAUGGACUGAACCUCGGAACUUGUCCUCCACUGGCAAAUCACUUGCAUCUUUUACUAACCUUAAGAUCAUAGAUGGCUCUGGAGUGGGCAAAACUGCAGAGCACCCACUUGUUUAAAAAGAGGGUGAAUAAUUCACUCUUCUCCCUUUGUGCUGACUCUCUUAGGAGGAAAAAAGUAAGAUCUGCAAACACAAUCCAUCACCAGCAAUUGUGAAGCAUCCUCUUCCCUUCUACAUGAGAGGACAGGACUCUAAAUUUGAUCAAGGACAACUACCAAAUGCAAAUGGCCUGGUUACAUAUAGAGAAAGUUCAAAAUCUCUUGCCUAUGGAAUAGUGCCCACCUCCUUCCAUGUAGUGGGCAACCUUUUCACCUCAAUUAAC
ensembl:lincRNA Gm42610 predicted gene 42610